rnacentral:rRNA from 1 species
GAUGAACGCUGGCGGCGUGCCUAAUACAUGCAAGUCGAGCGAACGGACGAGAAGCUUGCUUCUCUGAUGUUAGCGGCGGACGGGUGAGUAACACGUGGAUAACCUACCUAUAAGACUGGGAUAACUUCGGGAAACCGGAGCUAAUACCGGAUAAUAUUUUGAACCGCAUGGUUCAAAAGUGAAAGACGGUCUUGCUGUCACUUAUAGAUGGAUCCGCGCUGCAUUAGCUAGUUGGUAAGGUAACGGCUUACCAAGGCAACGAUGCAUAGCCGACCUGAGAGGGUGAUCGGCCACCCUGGCACUGAGACACGGUCCAGACUCCUACGGGAGGCCGCAGUAGGGAAUCUUCCGCAAUGGGCGAAAGCCUGACGGAGCAACGCCGCGUGAGUGAUGAAGGUCUUCGGAUCGUAAAACUCUGUUAUUAGGGAAGAACAUAUGUGUAAGUAACUGUGCACAUCUUGACGGUACCUAAUCAGAAAGCCACGGCUAACUACGUG